UAGUUUUUUGCUGUUUUCCACUUUCUAAAUAGAAAUUGGGUACUUUCAGAAGGGCUCCUAACUAUAAGAUACUAAGCGAUUCUAGUAAUGCCAAUUAGCGAGAAAUAACAUUAGUCGGAAAUGGCAUUCUAGCCAAGGCAGUCCGAUCAAAGGGAAUUUGUUCUGCACUUGCGUAACCCUGUGAGCCCAAGACUGGUCGGACUUGAAUGAAAUCGUAAACUAGCAACUAAUCGACAGACGGCUAUCAGCAAUCCCUCUCCACCUAGCCCCUCCUCCUGGAUCUGACUGAAACGCCGAGUAAGCAAAGCACUCGAGUGCGGCUCUCGAGCGACUGGACAUUAUCUGCGGCCCACACGCGGGACAGUAAUCAAAUCAGAUGCGAAUGCGAGUGCGAGUGCGGAUCCAAAGUGCAGCUUAGUAAUGCCAGACCUGGCAGAGACUGCCGCGCGGCAACGGGGCGUAUGAGUGACGACAAUGGCGAUGACCUCGCACUCGAGGGGCGGUGGGCGGUGGGCGGAGGGCCGGCUCCGGGGCCAUCACCCAGCCAGCCGCAUGCAAAUGGCCCAGCAGCUGAUGGCUGAUUGCUCAAACGAAAUGAAAACAAACAACCGACGCUGUCAGCUGGAGAAGCGGUCUCUAGUAUAUUUUAAUUACACUUGUGUGAACACCGCCGCCGGCAAUUGAAAUAUUUUUCCGUCUCUAAUCUACGACCAAUUUAAUAUGAAUUGAAUAAAUGAAUAGAUGGCAAUCGUA